rnacentral:lncRNA from 1 species
GCUAAGUGUGUGCUCUACCUUGGGCCACAUCCCCAGACCUAGGGUCUUUUAAAAAUUUGAUUGCGGAUAAUGCUGCAAAGCUCACUUCUUUAUAUUAAUUUUUUUACCUUCCCAAUAUGUCCUUCGGGAAACAUUGCCAUGGUCCAGAUUAUGACAAUUCUUAAGGCCCUUUACAUUUGUAAAGCUACAUCCAGAAAUGUCAUAUAGGGCCUUUUCACACUGAAUGAUGUUCCCAGAGAAAAUACAUCAACUUUCAUGUUUGCUAAACAGCGAACACCAACACUCAGAAAAUCAACAUGAAAACAAUUGGCCAUAGAAAGCUUACAAAUGAAAUUUUUGCAAUAUCAGAAGCUAAGCCAAGUAUCAACCAACCCACAUCAUAAAGCCCGAAGUGUUGCAUCAGAUUACUAAUUUUCCAUGUAAACUGCUUUUCAGUCAUUUAUCUGAUGACACACUCCUUUGUGUCAUCCAGAGGAACCGCUGGUCUGUGAUCAACUCCCUCCCCACCACCUCUUUCCCUCUUCCCUCCCUCCAUCCCUCACUCCCUCCCUCCCUCCUUUUCUCUUCCCUCCCUCCUUCCCUGCCGACCUUCUUCCCUCCUGACUUCCUUCCCUCCCCACCUCUUUCCCUCAGGCACGGGAAGCUAUGAUGGGUCUAGGAUAAGAAAAUGACAUUUCUCUGGUCUCUUCCCUCAACAAGGAAUGAAUCACAAAUCCAAGGCAUUGGCACUCACUGCUCCCCAUGGUAGAGGUGAGGCUGAUCCAGAGGAAGAAUUAUUAGCUUGAUGCAGAGAACAUGAGCCCCUCAAGCUUAUCACUUACACUUUUGGAGAUGCUGGUGAACUAUUUUGAAGACGACCCAAUUGAAGUUGAUCAAAGUCUGUUUGUGAGAGUGGCUGAAAUGACCAACAGGAAAUGGAAGGUGACACUUUGUGCACAGGUAGGACUUGCCCCUUGGUGCCUAUCUACAGUACCAUUCCUUAGAACAAGCUCUUA